rfam:Ensifer sp. YIC4027 scaffold9, whole genome shotgun sequence.
CCAGUUGGCCGGGCAGCCGCGCCCCGCAAGCGCCGAAAGGCCGCGGGGUGAGGAAAGUCCGGGCUCCACGGGAACACGGUGCCGGAUAACGUCCGGCGGGGGCGACCCCAGGGAAAGUGCCACAGAAAGCAAACCGCUCCGCUUCGCGGAGUAAGGGUGAAAGGGUGGGGUAAGAGCCCACCGCGGACAUGGCGACAUGGACGGCACGGCAAACCCCACCGGGAGCAAGACCGAAUAGGGAUGACACGGGCGCGCAAGCGCCCAGCCGGUUUCCAGGCCCGUCAUCCGGGUGGGUUGCACGAGGCUGCGCGCAAGCGCAGUCCCAGAUGAAUGGCUGCCACGUUCCGUUUCCUGCGGGAGACGGGGCCAUACAGAACCCGGCUUACAGGCCAACUGGCGAU